rnacentral:antisense_RNA from 1 species
UUCGGUACGACAUUGCUCACAUUGCUUCCAGUAUUAUUUGCCCGCCUUGCGCGGGCUUUUUUUU